AUUGCUCGGGGUGUAGACACGCU
rnacentral:piRNA from 1 species